UACGUAGGGUGCAGGCGUUAAUCGGAAUUACUGGGCGUAAAGCGUGCGCAGGCGGUUUGCUAAGAGAGAUGUGAAAUCCCCGGGCUUAACCUGGGAACUGCGUUUCUAACUGGCAGGCUUGAGUGUGGCAGAGGGGGGUGGAAUUCCACGUGUAGCAGUGAAAUGCGUAGAGAUGUGGAGGAACACCGAUGGCGAAGGCAGCCCCCUGGGCUAACACUGACGCUCAUGCACGAAAGCGUGGGGAGCAAACAG
rnacentral:rRNA from 1 species